GUUAGAACCAGUGCACACGUCAUAUCCGUCGUGUUUGAUGUUUUUCUUUUUGUUUAUUUUUGUUUAAAUCCAAACACAACACUCAGCUGCACAGAGCUACAUCCUACAUCUGAAUUUAAAGACAGAAAGAAAACUCCAUGGAUUUCCGUGCUCCUCCCAACCAAACUCAGUCAGCUCACGUCUGCUGUUCCUGCACCAGCUCGGAAGCCGCUGACAAUCUACAUGUUGGAGUCAGCUGAUCUGGACAAACAGAUCAGGAUGCUGUCAAGCAGAUUGCAGCUGUACUUCAGGCGAGGGAAGCUGGCCAGGAUGUGCAUUUUCCUGCACUUAAGAAGAAGAGGAGGAGGAGAAAGAACAGCCAAUUUUUUCAAUAAACCGUAUAUAUUACUGUAAAUA